GUGCAUACAAAGAAAAUAAAUUUUUAUGCCACUGCAGACUUAAACAGCAUGUGAAACCUAAGAAUCCAAGCACAGAAAGCCCAGUCAGUCUUUGGAACUUCCUUUCCUCCACCAUCAGUUACAGGAGGGCACAGAGGGACAAAUCUAAAGGGCACCGUCACCAUCACAACAGCACAGCAGUGAGUGCCCAGUGAGGGCUGUGGGGACAGAGCAAACCUCGGAGUCUGGAGGUGGAAAUGAGGGCACACAGGUACCUGACUUAAGGUUGAAGAGCAUUUUCCAGCUACCUGUCUUGUGCAUUGCUAAAAUAUACAAUGUUGAAGCAGCUUUCCAGUGAGGUCACACACUUCAGCUUGCCUGAGGGCGUCCUGAUCCGUGAGGAGAGAGGAGCAGGAAGAGUGGGG